GAUGAACGCUGGCGGCGUGCCUAAUACAUGCAAGUCGAGCGAAUGGAUUAAGAGCUUGCUCUUAUGAAGUUAGCGGCGGACGGGUGAGUAACACGUGGGUAACCUGCCCAUAAGACUGGGAUAACUCCGGGAAACCGGGGCUAAUACCGGAUAACAUUUUGAACCGCAUGGUUCGAAAUUGAAAGGCGGCUUCGGCUGUCACUUAUGGAUGGACCCGCGUCGCAUUAGCUAGUUGGUGAGGUAACGGCUCACCAAGGCAACGCUGCGUAGCCGACCUGAGAGGGUGAUCGGCCACACUGGGACUGAGACACGGCCCAGACUCCUACGGGAGGCAGCAGUAGGGAAUCUUCCGAAAUGGACGAAAGUCUGACGGAGCAACGCCGCGUGAGUGAUGAAGGCUUUCGGGUCGUAAAACUCUGUUGUUAGGGAAGAACAGGUGCUAGUUGAAUAAGCUGACACCUUGACGGUACCUAACCAGAAAGCCACGGCUAACUACGUGCCAGCCGCCGCCGUAA
rnacentral:rRNA from 1 species